GUGGCACGUGCCUGUAGUUCCAGCUACCUUCGUAUACCCUAUGUGGUCCUCCCUGUCCAUUUCUAAUCCUCCUCUCAAAUUCUAACAGGUCUUACCUACUGAUGACUGAAAGGUCUUCAAGGUUCCAGGCAUGGUCCUCUAUUGAGUCCUGAAUGUGUCCCAUUGCUUCAGCUGCAACACUGUCCUCCACAGAAGUGAUGAUCCAAACACAGAGACAAGAAACGGCACUGGCAUCCUGCCACGGAUAAAUAAAGUAACAACUAGGCCUGGAUUACCUGACAAAUGUACAAAUGCUAGAUGGGUAUUUCCUGUUUAGAAUAACUUACCCAACUUAAAUUAGUUAAAAUGGCUUGAAAAGCCUUCAAACAUAAAACAAACUCGUGAGCAAUCAAGGGAACGUUCUAAACUGUCCUGCAGAGUAUUGCAGAUCAAAAGACCAAGAACCAGACGGAAGGGGAUAUAUGUCCAAGUCAGGGUAGUACUAAUCAUAAGACAAUAGAAUUGCCCUCCACUCAUCUGCCGAUUAAAGGACUGUCUGGAAUGUUCCUCUACCCUGCUAAAGAAGGCACUAAAGAAACAGUAGUGGUUAGUCCACCAAAUCAUCCUCCUCUGUGACUGCCAACCAGGAACCAAGGCUUUGAUCACUUGAGUGCACUGAACCUCAAAGCACAAGAAAAGUACAUGAAAUGGCCCAAAGCCUAAGCUAGAGAAGCACAAAAAGUUGCAGUCAACUUGGAAACACACACUGGAACCUCAUCCCACUUCUGAUGAUCAGCCUUUCCUGUCCCUCAACACUUAAUUCUGUUGUUCUCUGGGUACUUAAUUUAGGGUCCUCAUGAUCCUCACCUGAAGACAUGAGGCCAGAACACUGAGGAUAGGGGCCUGUUGUUUCACUGCUUCAACAAGAAGCCAGUGCCAGGAGUCUGGCUCCUCUGAACACUGUAGCAGAAUUCCAAAUAAAUCGGUCAUUUCUUCUUU